rnacentral:lncRNA from 1 species
ACGAUCGCAUGCACGUGUCCGUUUCUUGAAGUGUAGAGGUUGCAGAGCGAAGUGAGUUGAUUAAAGAUCGAUUCUCUUCGGUAAGAUUGACGAAUCUUCUUGGUGGGAUGAAUCUUGGAGGAGGGGGAGGAACCACCGGAGACUCUUGUUCGACGGAUGCUCUUGCGUCGGCUGAACGGGGCGGUGUCGUCAUCGGAAAGGGAUCGGCGCCGUUCGCCAGUAUAUAUAUAGGUUAACUCUGCGGAGUUAGUAAGGGUUUUUGUUGUGUGAUUGUAGAGAAUGAGAAAGUGUUGAGAUCCGUGGAGUGUUGAUGCUUUUUAAAGGGAAAGUAAAUAUAUAUAUAUAUGCAUGGCGAGGUCGUUGGUGUAUAUUUUUUGGCAAUGGUGAGGUAAGAUUUUUUGAGCUUCGUUUGGCAAUGGUGAGGGUAAUUUUCAUUUAUGUGCCAAGACUUUUUGAGCUUCGUCUGUUUUAUGUAAAGUUGGCUUUGUUCGUAAUGCCCUGUCGUUUUGCAUCACUUGCAUAUCACUCGCAUGGUUUUAUUUGUGAUGAUAUGUUUGGUUUUAUUAUAUUACUCAUGGAUUUUUCUUCUUUAUGGUGAUUUUGUGGUGUUAUUAUCAUGUUGAUUAUUAUGGGAAUUUGCAAAGAUUAAAUCCCAACUGUUUUUAUUCUAUUUUCGUGUUUGUGAAUUUUAUCUUUGUCUUCAACAUAAUUUAAAACAUUGAUACAAUAUUGAUUUCAAAUAAACUCAUACUUUAUAAUUAUUAUAAUUUAGCAGAUUGAUACAUACUUUAUUAUUCUUAUUUAUAUCAUAACUCCAAAAUUAAAAAGUAAAUGACAUAAUGUACAAGGCACGGAAAAAAUCCAGCUUCAUAAAUACUAGUCUUAUUAGAAAAAAAGGAAAUAUACUAUUUAGUCCAAGUAAAGAAUUCUUUAGCCGGGUUAUUAUUUCUCACUAAGGAAACACUUUAAGUUCAACAAUAUAUUCGCAAAUCUGACCACAUCGAGCUCGGGCGGCUCCUCUAUACGCUCUCCAUAUUGUAAGAAAAGUCUUAGGGUCCGACUGGUGACCAUCCGGAAAACAAGAGGAACGAAUAAAAAAGGAAUGUACGGAAAUAAAAUACCAGGAAUGAAAAGGAAUGGUUAUUCCUUAUCAAAUUUGACAAGGAAUAAUUUUGUUCUUUAAUUCUCUACAAAAAAGGGAAUGAAAGGGAAUGAGAAGAAAUUAUUAUUCCUUGUGAAUGGUAAUUUUUUUUAGGAACGUUAGGGAAUACAUUAUUCCUCGUCGUUCCCUGGUCACCAUUCAUACCCUUACUCUUUGCAUCAUUUAAUUCACAUGUCCAUACUAUUCUAUUUGAUCCUUUCUCCUUAACCGGAAAGCUGUAUAUGCUAUUGGGUGAUACAUAAUUGGCACCUUGGCUUAUGCGUCUGUUGGACCUGCACUUGACAAUGAGUGUAUGACCAGCUCCAAGGCGGUUUCUGAAUUGUAAAGUGUUUGGAGCGCAUCCAUAACUUUCUUUAAAACCAAAACACAUAGCAAGAACUAACAUAAAAAUAAUGAGAUGAUUCGUUUUUAGAUCUAAAGACUCAAUGACCCAAUAGUAUUAUAAUAUUUUUUGUGUGAUAAAUAAGGCAAUAGGCCAAAUACAGACACACGAAUAUUGACCAACUAAACUUAUGGCCAGAUGAGCAUCCGGAGUCGAAAAGUAAGGUAAUUCCAUAAGAUCAGAUCAAAUAAAUUAAACUUGCAAAUUAAUAUUGACCACUAUAAACUAAAGAAACCAAAUCUAAGAUUGUCAAAAAUUUAUGCAAGGGUAAUACCAACAGGGUCUAUUCGCAUCACUUACUCUCUUCUUGGUAACAUGAUCUAUUUCAUAUGUUGGUGUGUUGAUAUGCUCAAAUUAACCUCAAGGAACUCUCUCAAAUAAUAGUGUCAUCAUAAUACUUGAGGAUUGAAUCUACAUGGACUGAGGAUCACACUAUAGACUAUCAGGGUUUAGUUAAGCUAAGUCAGAGUUAUCAAAACAGUAAAAAAACAAUAGGAUAAUUUGUUUUGUGAGAUAUAGGGAGAAAGCCAUGGGCCAAGGUUUAUUAUACUCAAUUCCAGAACUCGAAUGUAGACAGUAAGUCGUCCAACUUUCGUUGCGAUAAACUAUAAGAUGCUUAACUCAAAUCUAAAACCAACUCUCGUUGCGAAUAAGAUGAUUGAAGCAAGCAUUAAAUCCAAUUUGAUACUGUUCAACAAAAAUCCUAUACCAACUCUCAUUGCGAAUGAAUUUCUAGUCCAACAAGAUUCGAGUUCAGUUAAUCGAUUAUACUCUCGUGUUUCCCAAUUGUCCUAUGACCCUAGAUUCUAGACUUCUAGUUAAUUACCCUAAAUCCUAUAUUACAUGCCAUCAUGAUGUAGAAAUCUAUGAAUAACCCUAGCAUCAAUGAUUAUCAAUUUGACGUUAAGCUUAUGAAAUUUCUAAUUAAUCUAACAAGUGGUUUACUGAUCAUAUAUAAUCACAUAAACAUAAAUCAUAGACAGAAUAACUGUAUAAAAUAGCUAGAGAAAGAAAUACUCCAGCUCUAAUAGAUCUCUCUGAAGGUGUUUACUGAUCUUCUCUCCAAAUUUCUCUAAUGAAAAUAAAAUGCAGCCUAAACAGUGGGUUAAAAACAUAAUAUACGUCUAAAAUUUGCAAGAGUUUCUUUACAAAUACUGAAAACUAUGAGCCAACUUGUAAUUCUUAAAACUUGUAUCGGCUGGCUCCAAAAGUAAGGGUAUCAAGGACACACAUGAGAGUAUCGAUCAACACCCAAUCAAAAUCACGACUUCGACUUCAAUGAGUGACAAAUCUCAUUACAAAAGUUUAGUUAAGAAACCAUAAAACCUAAGAACUUUCAGCAUAUGUCCACUACAAGAAAACAUGAAAUUACCGACUACAUGUUGCGACUGAUUGUGCAGUCGCCAAAUAUUGCGACUGUUUUACGAUCUUUUCGCGACAGUUUUGUUAUUAAUGCGUGUCAGUCGCAAAUCAGUUGCUAAUAUGCGACUAAGUAAAUCAGUCGCAGAACAGUCGCUAAUUAAUGACUAAUUAGCGACUAUUUACUGUGGUCGGAAUCUAUAGUCGCAAAAUAGUCAUUAAAAUAGCGACUGUUCUGCGACUACUUACUCUAUACCCUAAAUUUAAGAAUAUGUUUGAGGUAUAGCGACUGUUUUGCGACUACAGUUACCGAAAAUAGUAAAUAGUCGCAGUUUAGUCGCUAAUUACCUAAACUCUGUUUUUAGCAUCUAUACCCUAAAUCCCAAAUUUAAAUCUACAUAUAAAACUAUGAUCUUAAUAUUUUUAAUCUUAUUAUCUAAACUAAACUUAAACUUAAAAUAUUUUUUCAAAAUGAUAUAAUCAUAAAAUAAUCAUGAAUAUAAACUUCAUAUAUACUAUAUACCUUAUGUCAUAAACACUAAACUAAAAAUUAAUCUCCAAAUAUUAUAAAUAAAUAUUUAAUCUUUAAAAUUAAAUUUUCAAUAAUUAACCUCAAAUAUUAAAUCUAUAACUAGUAUACACAAAACCCUUAACCUAAACGUAAACCCUAUAUUCCAAAUUUAAAACUAAACUCCUCUAACAUUUUCAAAGCUAAACACCAAAUAUUAAACAUACAUUUUACAGAUUUGUCUUAUAAAUUUUUUUGUCUCAAAACUUAAACUCCAAAUCUUCAAUAUAAAACUAUAAACUUAAUCUUUCAAAAUUUUAUCUCAAAUCAUAUACUUGUUUUCAAAAUUUAAUCUAAGUCCUAUACCAUAACCUUAUAUCCUUUAAUUAACUAUAAACACUAAACUUUAUAUUUUUAAAGUCUAAACCUUAAAUCAUAAAAAUAAAUUGUUUGCUUUAACCUUUCUAAAACUUCGCUGUAACAUUUCCUACAUACAUUUUCUUUAAAAGAAAUUGUCCUCCAUAUAAUAUUAAACUAAAACAAAAUAAACUUUAGUUAAUAAUCCCUCUCCUCUUUUCUUAUUGGUUGAACAAAGCAUCACACGGAUCACCUUUAUAACCAUCCGAUGCGUGUUUCUUCAUCCCUUCCCUCACACGUGUCUUCAUCUCAUCUCCUCGUCUUUAUCUCUUUUUUCUUCUUUCUUUGUCUCACGAGAAUUCACAAUCUCUUUCACUCUCAUCUCUCUCAUCAUCUCUGAUAUCUUCCUCUGUAUCUAACUCAUCAUUCUUCUUCGCUGACAAACCGACGACCUUACGGAGAAGCUCAUGAAGCCCACGACAGCGACGACGACAGCCUACUCUCCGCCUCAUCUCCUCCAAUGCCUCUCUCCUCGUGACGUCUCUAUUCCUCUUCUCUUCUCCAUGACACGUCCUCUCCUCCUCUGCUCGAUCAUGCCCCCUCUCCUCGUCUGCUCCGUAAUGGCUCCUCACGUCCGCGAAUUUCCUUGCUCGCGUGGCGGCUGAAGAAACAAACGAAGUUUAUGUUAGGUUUAGAUUUAGGUUUAGUGUUAGCUCCCGUAUGCUAAUAACAGCGGCUUAGAUUUAAGUUUUGAUUCAUUUUCUUGACCAAAUAGUUUUGGUCUUUGAUUUAGUUUUUCUUUUUGUAUUUAUGUAAUUAUGUAUCUGUCUCAGUUUUAAUUUAAACCAGUUUAAUAUAUAUAAAUCAUUUUAAAUUUUAAUAAAUUUAUUAAUUUUAAUUUUAAUUUUUUUUUUUGUUUUUAAUUUUUCGUUUUGCGACUAAUUAGCAACGGUGAUUCUAAAACUGUAGUAGUAAAUUAGUCACUAAAUAUUGCGACCAAAUUGUUUACAAAAAAAAAUAUUGCGACCAAAUAACGACUACAAUCCGUUCUCGCAAAGAAGUCGUAAUUCAGUCGUAAAAUUUUGCGUCUGAACUGCGACGGAUUUAUGACCAAUAACAUUAAUCGCAAAUUAGUCUCAAAUCAGUCGUAAAAUUGCGACUGAUUUAUGACUGAUAGUUUUUGCGACACGUUGAUUUGUGACUACAUGUAUCAGUCGCAAAUCAGUCGUAACCGUACAUUUUGCGACUGAUUAGCUACUGAUUUUGCAGUCGGAAAAUGCAUGUUUUCUUGUAGUGGUCGUAGAACCUAGCAUUAACUACUUUGAGACAAAGCUAAUGAAUCCAGUUCAAGAAUGCUGCAAUGGUAUAAGACGACUCACCGAAGAGAUAUAUAUGAAGAAAAGGCCUGAGCUUAUUCACCAAACCCCAAAACAGAUCAUCCCUAGUCAUAAUCACCGCCUGCGUAACUCUCGGUGCCUUGUACACCACGAAAUUCCCAUACGUACCCCUGGCCAGUCUCACUAACCUAAUUCGCACUCCAAAAUCUCUUCCUCCACCACAACUAUCGACUCCUUCAUAUAUAUCCAAAAGCUUCUCCACGAUGUAGCUUCCGUGUUGGUCACACGCCUGGUUGAAAACGCGCAGCCCCUUGACUAACAACGCAUGACGCCUCCUUGUCGGUCAUGAUGUCGAGGAAGCCGCGGAAGAAGCGGCGAAGAAGAAUGUGUCCACGUCAUCUGAUAUCCCGAGAAGCUUCCUUAGGCGGUGGGAGCCGUUCUUGUUUCUUGCGAUGUUCAAGAAGAAACCGGAGUUAACGUCAGAAACCAGGCCAUCUUCCGAAGAUCGGCUGCUUCGAACUCUGAGAUCACCUCUCUAAACUGACCCGCACCGUCUAGUCAUUAAGUUGCGCAACGAUCGCAUACACGUGUCCGUUUCUUGAGGUAUAGAGGUGGCAGAGCGAAAUGAGUUGAUUAAAAAUCGAUUCUCUUCAGUAAGACUGACGACUCUUCUAGGUGGGAUGAAUCUUGGAGGAGGAGGAACCACCGGAGAUUCUUGUUGGACGGAUGCUCUUGCGGCGGCUGUCACUAUCGGAAAGGGAUCGGCGCUGUUCGCCAGUAUAUACGUUAACUCAAC